GUGAUUCCGAUAGUAGCGGCGAGCGAACUUGGAUUAGCCCAAACCAAUAUUGUUACGGCAAUAUUGGGGUUGUAGGACUACGAUAUUCUGUGCUUUAUGAAUUAGAACGCUUUGGAAAGAGCGGCCAUAGACGGUGAUAGCCCGGUAUAGGCAAGGCGUGCGUAGAUAGUGGUAUCCUGAGUAGUGCGGGACACGAGUAAUCCUGUAUGAAUCAAGCGGGACCAUCCGCUAAGGCUAAAUACUCCUGAGAGACCGAUAGUGAACAAGUACCGUGAGGGAAAGGUGAAAAGCACCCCGAUUAGGGGAGUGAAACAGUACCUGAAACCGG
rnacentral:rRNA from 1 species